rnacentral:rRNA from 1 species
GACGAACGCUGGCGGCGUGCCUAACACAUGCAAGUCGAACGGUACUGUUUUGAAAGAUUUCUUCGGAAUGAAUUUGAUUUAGUUUAGUGGCGGACGGGUGAGUAACGCGUGAGUAACCUGCCUUCAAGAGGGGAAUAACAUUCUGAAAAGAAUGCUAAUACCGCAUGACAUAUCGGAACCACAUGGUUUUGAUAUCAAAGAUUUUAUCGCUUGAAGAUGGACUCGCGUCCGAUUAGUUAGUUGGUGAGGUAACGGCUCACCAAGACCGCGAUCGGUAGCCGGACUGAGAGGUUGAACGGCCGCAUGGGGACUGAGACACGGCCCAGACUCCUACGGGAGGCAGCAGUGGGGGAUAUUGCGCAAUGGGGGCAACCCUGACGCAGCAACGCCGCGUGAAGGAUGAAGGUUUUCGGAUUAUAAACUUCUUUUAUUAAGGACGAAAAAUGACGGUACUUAAUGAAUAAGCUCCGGCUAACUACGUG